ensembl:lncRNA
CAAUUAGGAAAGUCAGAGCGAAUUCCUUCAAUGUGUGAAGAAAAAGCAGUUCCUAACUGGAGUUCCAGAACUGUUGAAAAUCCUUGGAAUGUUACUACCUGCUUCGAUGGAACAACAUUCAUAUGUGAGGGGAGCACAUAACUUGACUGGUCACAGCUGGAGAGAAAUUUUGCCUCGGGAUGAAUCAUACCUCAAGUCUUCUGCACAUUUGAUUUAGAUGAUAAAGAUGAAACUUCAGACUUUAGGGUUGAUGCUGGAAUGAAUGGGCACCUCAAAGGAGAAAUUUCAGAAGCCACAUCUCUGUGUUCAGCUAAAUCAUAAAGAAGUAGUUUGGACAGAAGCCUCCUUUCGUGAGCUCCCUGACAGUGCUGACUUCCUUUCUGGUAAUCCCCUCCCUCAUUCUCCCUCUCCACCAAAAACAGCUUCUUUGCUGCCGCCCCAUUGCAUAGCUUUCUCCCUGUUCCCAGAACCCUGAGGGGCCUUUGAAGAGCCCAGGCCUUGCACAUGCACUUCCUUGGCCUGGAUGUUCUUCUUGGAUUCUUUGUUUGACACAGGUCCUUCAAUUUCCAAACACCCCAUGGCAUUGUAUGAGCUGUCAGAAACCUUAGGAAUCACACCACACUGGCUCACGGUGUGGGAAACAAUUCUUGGGAGAGUCAAAUUUGGCUUUUUUAUUGGCUCUUUCCUUUGGAUAGAAAGGAUACCAUCUGAACUCUUUUUUUUGGUACCUGAGAUUGAACUCUCAUCUGAACUCUUAAUUGGCUAGAAAAAUAUACAUAAGAAUAUUUUAUAAGUGCAGGUGACAAGGUGACUGGUGGAGUGUGCAGAUUCUUGCUCUGCUAUGCCAUGCAUCAAAAAGGAAUCAGAAACUCCUGAGUCCUACCACACAGGCCUGAGCAGUGCUCUGGUGUUUUAGCCUAUUUGCUCUGCUCUAACAAAAUGCCACGGGCAUUCUGUUGCUUAGAAAUUAUAAUUUAUUUUGUACAGUUGAAGGGCCUGGAAAGUCCAAGGGCAGAGUGUUGGGACUGGGUGUCUGGUGAGGGCCUUCUUGCUCUGUCCUUACUUGGUAGAAGAGCAGGAAAGCAAGAAGGAACUAAACUAGUUCUUCCCAGUCCUUUUCUAAAAUCCUAAUCCACGCACAAGGAUAGAACCCUCUUGACUGAACCACUUCCUCAGAGACCUCACCUCUCACCACAAUGGGGAUUAAGUUUUACAACAGUUUUUGGAGGGGACAUGUUCAAACCAUGACAUCUUUGUAAACGACAGCCUGAGUCUUGGAAUGUGCAUGCUCCUGACCCCUUCCCCUCCAAAUGGAAGGGAAAAAGAAAGCCCAUUGCUUGUGCUGUAUCUACCUUUCAGUGAGGCUGCACAGUGGAAUGGAAGAGGUUUGUUUGAUCUACUAAUUUGUUUUUCAGUGAAACUCUUGUUUGUUUCAUUUUGAGGUCAUUUCUUUGGAAAGAUUAAGGGCAAAGAUGAGUGCAAAUUAAUUGUUUCUUCCAUGUAAUACUAUAAUAACUACAAGUUUGCCAUAGUCGUGUGUGUGUGUGUGUGUGUGUGUGUUGGGAGUUGGGGAGACAGAAGAUGGAUGGAGAGGAAUUAAACCUUGAGCAAGUAAGAGAAAGAAAAUAAGGCAUGGUGUGGUAGAACGUGAAAUUAAAAAAAAUUAAAUACCAAUGCUUCUUAUGAUGCAGUUAUGUCUAGAAAAAGUCAUUGUAAAUGAGAAAUAUUAUAAGUCACAACUGCAUCUAAUACACCUAAUGUACUAAACAUCAUAGCUUAGCCUAGCCUAACUUAGAAGUUUCCAGAACACUUACAUUAGCCUGUAGUUGGGCAAAUCAUCUGGCACAAACCCUAUUGUAUAAUAAAGUAUUGCAUAAGUCAGGUAAUUUAUUGAAUACCUGCAUCUAAAAAUGCUGCAAAAUAGUGCACUGUGGAGUAUGGUUGUUGCCUCUCCUUAUCAUGUGGCUGACUGGAACUCUGGCUCCAGUAUUAUGAGUAUUGAGUGCAUAUCACUAGCCCAGGAAAAGAUCAAAAUUCAAAGAACUGUGUCUACUGAAUUCAUAUUGCUUUUGCUCAUCGUGAAGUUGAAAAAUUGCAAAUCAGAUUGAUGCAAGUUGGGAUCAUCUGUACAGGAGUAUCAAUAAACAGGCAGGAGAAACUCACAAGGGAUCUUGAGAGAAAAGAACAUGUGGGUAUGUAACACAGUAAUCACAAGAAGUUAGAGCUGAGUUGGAUCUUAAAGAAUAUUGACUCAAUUCUCUUCAUUUGAAACAUGAUAGAAGUGAAACCCAGGGAAGCUAUGUGAAUUUACAAAUUGGUUAAAGUCAGAGGUAAGAGGAAUACACAAGGCUCUCAUUCCAAGCACAUGGAUGUCAGUGGGGGAGGAGCUUGAAGCUGAAGAUAGGACUGGGAUGUGAUUUUUUCCUGCUCACUACUGUUGAAGGCUAAUAUUCUUAAAAAGAAGAAUCAUGCCUCUGAUAUAAAUACAAAAUCAACAUUCACCAUAGAUUCUGGUUAACUCAUUAAUUUUGAAAGAACUACUGAUAUUACUGGUUGAAAGAAUUCAAAGUACCACAUACACGUAUAGGUAGAUAAGAAAUGCUGAAAUGAAUUUACAAAUAAAUGUGACUUGGCAUAGAUUUUAUUUAAAUAAUUACUGGGAGAUUCAGUAAGAAAUUAAAACUUUUUAAAAGGGGAACUCAAAGAAACACAUCCAUAUACAGGAAGAUAAAGAGUUCAAAAAUGAAUCUGCAAACACAUGUAAUAUGGAUCUAAUGAUCAGAUAAUUGCAUUCGCUUUGACACAAGCAAUUUGCAUGUGUAUGUACAAGGAUCAUUUGUACUAUUUUCAGUUUUCUACAAAUGACAGAAUUGCAAAAUAACUUUUAAAAACCCCUCAAACCCCCUCCAGAAGUAAAUAUCCUCUACCACCCCCAAAACAAUGAAAGGCAGAGAUGAUCAGAAAGGGUGUGGUUGUAUAGGAUAUCCACUCCAUUCCCAUUCCAAAGUCUUGCACAAUACCUGGAGUUGAAGGUGAUGCUCUCUUACUUCCUUGACUCACAAUGCUUCCUUUGGCAGUAAUGGAAAACAGAGUGUUAUGGUUUGUGUCUAGAUGUCCUCACAAACCCUCAUGUAGUCAUAGGCUAUUGUGGAGGUGGCUGAAUCUAGACUGCAUGAUUGAUUCAUGGCAGAGCUAGAACUGAGGGCACUAGGAUUAAGGGCAUGAGUGCUACCCACCCUAAGUAGUCUGAAUAAGAUAAAAGAGGCAGAAAGAAACUCUGAAGGUCCCUUGUUGCUUCUGCUGUCUUCCACUGCCUUGAACUGUUGCCCUCUGCCACCCACCUUGGAGCCAGUGAAUUGUGGACUGAAUCUCUACAAACUGUAAGCCAAAUAAACCUUUCCUCCUUUAACUUUGGGUAUCGGGUAUUUUGUCUCUACAACUAGAGAAAAGUAACUAAGACACAGACUAAGAAAGUGAGCGGAUUCAAGGAAUAUAUUCAGGGCCACGCUACACGCAUCUCUGUUCAGGGUGCCCCUGCUGUUACUGCCUCAUGAAAUACUUUCACCAUCAUUGCUGGGUGCCUUUUGGCCCAGUAAAUUUGACACUUCAAAUUAACCAUUUUAGUCAUUCAAUAUUUUAUAUCAACUACUAAUUCUUUUUUCCAGUUUUUAUUUUUAUUAGUCUAUGUUUGCAGUACAUAAUGUUAACAUUCCUUGUGGGUCGUUGACACAGGCACAUAACUCAUCUCAGUUCUGUUUUCAUCCCCUUUCCCUCUCCUCCCUUCCCAUUCUUCAGUAUUAUGGAGUGGUUGUUAUUGAGUGCAGUGGGGGUUUAAAUAUUAUACAAUAUGUAUAUGUUUUGAAACAUAUGUGGUAACCCACUAAGAUGGGCCAUUUUCAUGUAUCAGUUAAAAAAAGAACAGUGGGGAACAACAAUAUCUUGAGUAAAAACAGUUGCAAGCUAGCUACCAUUUUAUGUAGACCUCAUUUAUUGUAUGUGUGAAAGGUCUUAAUGCUGAAGUUAGUAUAAAAGCCCAUUAAUAAUGUAAAAUCAAGACUGCAAUAAUGGUUUAGGAACCUGCAUCCUAGCUUCUAACUAGAAAUCCAUUUUCUUUUUUUGCAGUAAUUUAACCUUUUUGGAUUUGGUUUCUUUGCACAUGAGGGGGUUGGAUAAUAUGAUUUUUAAAAAUCAGUUCCAGCCCUAGAACCUUGGUUCCCAAUGAAUAAAUAAACUACAGGGGAAGCCCUCUAUGCUGCUUGGCAGCAUGAUGCACAUGGACAAAGAAAACAUUUCUUUGAAGUUCUGUGUGGCAGAUUUUGCAACUAAAGGACAAAAAUAAUUUGACCUGGCCUUUAUUUGUUCUAGUUGGCUAGAAAUAAACAGUUUAUUCUUGGAAAAAUGGUCUUUAUGAUGCUCCUCAUUCCAAGACUCUUCUUAUGCAUUACAUUGCCCUCACUCAUAACCUUUUACAACUGGUUUCCCUACCUCAGUGGAUUAUACUCUGAUUAAAUCUUGUUAUGCUGCAAUAUUUCCUUACCUAGUUUUGGGAAUUUAAUUGUGUUAUUUCUGAAGUUAAAGGCUUAGCUUUGCUUCAAAAAAACGCUGGUGUUAGCGAACUGGGGAGAAAAUGUGGAGCUGUGCAGCCCUCAGAAAUUACAUUUUGUUUUACCCAGGAAAUCACGAAGACCUGAGUAUCAAUUUUGCUGCUCAGAGGAAUGAGGCAUAGGUUUCCCACUAUUUCCGCAGGCCCAUGACGAGGAUGAGGUGGGGGAGCUGAGCAAAGUUGCUGGUAUAGGGGCGUGAGGCCACCAUGUGCAGACCCAGGGGUCAGGACACCCUAGAGCACGUGAACCUCUCUUUGGCCCCUCUUAAAUUCAUUGUGCACUCCCUUUUCCCCCAAGAUCCUCUGAUGAAAACAUGCCUUUCAUGUUUUCUAAUGUAAUUUCCCUUCAGUCUGAGUUUCAGGGUGUAACUUUCCUUAACUGGCUUUUUAAAGAUCUAUGUCCUUUUAUGUUUUAAACCAUUUGUGCAUUGUUGGGUGAUUUUACCAAGAGAAACAUUUUUUGCUCAGAAUAUUUAAAGUUAUUAUUGCUAAAUCCACUAACGGGACCUGGCUUGCUAAAAGCAAUCGGGUAUUAAAUGUAUUGGGUUUAUUGAAAAGUUAAAAAAAAAUGUAGCUGAAAAGUUUACAUAUAUAUUAACAAAUGUUUGUUGUUGGUGUUUUAACUUUUAUUUGUAUUUUCUUUCCUCAUUCCCUUUUCCAGUAAGCAUGUACUAUUUUUGUUAAUAGAACAAAACAAAGCAAAACAGAAACAACAACAACCACAAAAACUAUUGACAUUUUCAAGACAAACCGUUUUAUUUUAAGGAAAUCUACUUCAAAAAUCUGGCACAAUGAAACUUCUAAAAAAACAAGAACAAGAU